AUGGACUGGACCUGGAAAAUUCUCUUCCUGGUGGCAAUGGCUACAGGUGUGAACUCCCAGGUAGAGCUGGUGCAGUCAGGAGCUAAGGUGGCAAAACAUGGGACAUCAGUGAAGAUCUUCUGCAAGGCGUCCGGAUACACCUUCAUCCAAGACUAUAUGCACUGGAUGCGCCAGGCUCAGGGAGAAGGUCUUGAGUGGAUGCGAUACAUACUCCCUUACGAUGGUGAAACAAGCUACGAACCGAAGUUCCAGGGCAGACUCACACUCACUGCAGAAAUGUUCAAGGACAUAGCCUACAUCGAACUGAGCAGGCUGAGCACUGAGGACAUGGCCAUGUAUUACUGUGUGAGUGACACAGUGUGA